CUUUCCGAAUCGACUGGACGUACACACUGACAGAAAUAUUUGCCACUGGUAUUUACUCAAACAACGAUUCACUCAUAAAUGCAUUACUGAAAAAGGGUGAGGUUAAUUGUUUGUUUGUUUAGUAUCUCAGAUCCGUUAAAAUUCAAUGAGAAAUAAUAAAAAAGAAACAUUACCCCCUCCCUUUGCCAAAUACCCAUUCGAGAAAAAAUACUAUUUGAAACAAACAGAAAAGAUAGAAAUGUAGUGAUCCUUAACAUCGCAAUUCUUUUUCUUCGUCUGGUCUGUAAGCAAACUGAUGCAGUCUUCGUUUUCAAUGCAUAAUCAACACAUCUUUAAACUACUUCAAGUCAUCCAAAAUGACUUUCUUAAAGGAGCAACCACUUUACUUUAAAAAAAAAAAAAAAAAAAGGGGGGGGGGGGAGUUUCUGAGUCAGAAUUUUUUCUCGCGCGAAAGUUUAUAUUUAGAUUUUUU
rnacentral:lncRNA from 1 species